GAUGAACGCUGGCGGCGUGCCUAAUACAUGCAAGUCGAGCGAACAGACGAGGAGCUUGCUCCUCUGACGUUAGCGGCGGACGGGUGAGUAACACGUGGAUAACCUACCUAUAAGACUGGGAUAACUUCGGGAAACCGGAGCUAAUACCGGAUAAUAUAUUGAACCGCAUGGUUCAAUAGUGAAAGACGGUUUUGCUGUCACUUAUAGAUGGAUCCGCGCCGCAUUAGCUAGUUGGUAAGGUAACGGCUUACCAAGGCAACGAUGCGUAGCCGACCUGAGAGGGUGAUCGGCCACACUGGAACUGAGACACGGUCCAGACUCCUACGGGAGGCAGCAGUAGGGAAUCUUCCGCAAAGGGCGAAAGCUUGACGGAGCAACGCCGCGUGAGUGAUGAAGGUCUUCGGAUCGUAAAACUCUGUUAUUAGGGAAGAACAAAUGUGUAAGUAACUACGCACGUCUUGACGGUACCUAAUCAGAAAGCCACGGCUAACUACGUG
rnacentral:rRNA from 1 species